GACGAAGGAUGCAAGCGUUAUCCGGAUUCAUUGGGUUUAAAGGGAGCGUAGGUGGCCUUAUAAGUCAGCGGUGAAAUCUCUGGGCUUAACCCAGAAAUUGCCAUUGAUACUGUAGGGCUUGAGUACAGUUGCUGUGGGCGGAAUAUGACAUGUAGUGGUGAAAUACAUAGAGAUGUCAUAGAACACCGAUUGCGAAGGCAGCUCACAAAACUGUAACUGACACUGAGGCUCAAAAGUGCGGGGAUCAAACAGG
rnacentral:rRNA from 1 species